rnacentral:sRNA from 1 species
GCUGAUAGCUCUAUAAUUGACAACACACAGAUCUCAUCUCUUGAAUUGUUAAAUUCUAUUCCAUUGGGUGGUUCAAAGAUAUCACCAAAUGUUCGCCAACAAGCUAAUGUGCUUACACCUCGUGUAUAUGAUUGCAGUCGGUGGUAUUGCAUGGUAAACCAAGACUGUCCAGCGCAAGAUGAAAUUUGCCACCAUUGUAUUCAUUCGCAACACCCUGAUGGUUUUGGGAAAUGUCAUGUCUAAUUGAUUUGUUCUUAGUAGCAAUCGUGUAAUUAUUUAUUUAUUAGACGGAGCGAAGCGAAGUCUCUAUACAAAGCUCUGAAGGGAAAGUGGAGAAAAGUUGCUUAAAUGUUUGCAAAAAUAUGUAUCAAAAUAAAAUGGGU